AGCUUUGCGCAGUGGCAAUAUCGUAACCAAUGAGGUACAUCUGAGGUGCGAUUAUUGCUAGAACAGAAUAAUAACGCAAACAGUUUCACAACUUCAAACAUUUCCCAAAAUUAGGCACAAGGAAACUUUCUUAUGAAA